UUCCUUUUUCAGAUACUCCGUUGGCCAGCGGUCAUGCCACAGACUAUUUAUUUGUUGGAAAUAUUGUUUACACGUAUGUUGUUGUUACUGUUUGUCUGAAAGCUGGUUUGGAGACUACAGCUUGGACUAAAUUCAGUCAUCUGGCUGUCUGGGGAAGCAUGGUGAUCUGGUUGGUAUUCUUCAGCCUCUACUCAACUAUCUGGCCCACCAUCCCCAUCGCUCCAGAUAUGAAAG